rnacentral:rRNA from 1 species
UACGUAGGGUGCAAGCGUUGUCCGGAAUUAUUGGGCGUAAAGAGCUCGUAGGCGGUCUGUCGCGUCUGCUGUGAAAACUCGGGGCUUAACCCCGGGCCUGCAGUGGGUACGGGCAGACUAGAGUGCGGUAGGGGAGACUGGAAUUCCUGGUGUAGCGGUGAAAUGCGCAGAUAUCAGGAGGAACACCGGUGGCGAAGGCGGGUCUCUGGGCCGUAACUGACGCUGAGGAGUGAAAGCAUGGGGAGCGAACAGG